AUCCAGCUAGCGAGUCCCAAAUAGGACGAAACGCGCAUCCUGGAU
rfam:Schistosoma curassoni strain Dakar, Senegal genome assembly, scaffold: SCTD_scaffold0001732